rnacentral:rRNA from 1 species
GCGCGAAACCUCUACAAUGCACGAAAGUGUGAUAGGGGUAACCCAAGUGCUCAUACACUGUAUGGGCUUUUGCUAAGUGUAAAUAGCUUGGCGAAUAAGCGGUGGGUAAGACUGGUGCCAGCCGCCGCGGUAACACCAGCGCCGCAAGUGGGAGCCGUCUUUAUUGGGCCUAAAGCGUCCGUAGCAGGUUGAGCAAAUCUCUCGUGAAAUUGUCUAGCUUAACUAGACAGCGUGCGGGAGACACUACUCGACUAGGGACCGGGAGGAGUCAGAGGUAUUUCGGGGGGAGCGGUAAAAUGCUAUAAUCCUCGAAGGACCACCGAUGGCGAAGGCAUCUGACCAGAACGGAUCCGACUGUGAGGGACGAAAGCCAGGGGAGCGAACCGGAUUAGAUACCCGGGUAGUCCUGGCCGUAAACGCUGCGAGUUAGGUGUUACGUAAACUUCGGGUUUGCGUAGUAUCGAAGUGAAGACGUUAAACUCGCCGCCUGGGAAGUAUGGUCGCAAGGCUGAAACUUAAAGGAAUAGG